GACGAGCCACACAAACGUUAUUCGGAAUUACUGGGCUUAAAGGGUGCGUAGGCGGCGCGAAAAGUUGGGUGUGAAAUACCUCGGCUUAACCGAGGAACUGCGCCCAAAACUAUCGUGCUCGAGGGAGAUAGAGGUGAGCGGAACUUACGGUGGAGCGGUGAAAUGCGUUGAUAUCGUAAGGAACACCCGUGGCGAAAGCGGCUCACUGGGUCUUCUCUGACGCUGAUGCACGAAAGCUAGGGGAGCAAACGGG
rnacentral:rRNA from 1 species